UAGAAAGCUCUAUCAAUAAUUUUCUAAAUAAGAUAAAUUUAAUUUUAACGUAACCUUUAUUAUUUUAGUAGGCGAUCUGUGGGAUUCAUUUAUCAGCAAUAAAAUCAUUUCGUUGGAAGUUCGGGCCACAAAGUUAAACAUUUGAACCGAGUAAAUUUACGAUAUUGAAAUAGUUUGAUUGUUGGCGGAAAGUUGGAAAAAAAAUUCUUCGAACGUUUCACAGAGGCAGAUUACUCGUAACGUCUCGAGCCAUUCUAUCAAUUUAAGGAAACGCAUAUUCUAUCCCGAAAUUGAUGACCCAUUUUCUCCCUUUGAAACGCCGUCAAACUUUUCUAUCAAACUUUGAUGGAAAUACGUAUACGCGUAUUGCGCACGUGUGUGUAAUCCGUCAACAAUAGAAAAUAAAUUGAACGUUUGGUUUCGUAAAUAAACACGUCAAGAGGAAUUAUAUAUACAUACACACAGUUGGGGGAAAAAAGUUUUCUGAAAACUGAUGACUGACCAAUCUUUUUCAAUCAACAUUCUGAGAAAAUGGGUCAAAACGAAUUAAAAAAGAAAAAGAAAGAGAGAGAGAGAAAAGAAAAUGAUUUUUAGAGAGAAGCUUUUUCAAGAAGGGAAACUAAUUAAUUUAUUAAACAAGGUGAAUAAGAAUUCGUCUAAAUAAAAGUAGUUAAAAAAAAAGGAAGAGAAG